rnacentral:rRNA from 2 species
UAUGCAUGCAGUCGUACGAGUUCUCGUUGAUGAUCGGUGCUUGCACCGAGAUUCAACAUGGGAASGAGUGGCGGACGGGUGAGUAACACGUGGGUAACCUGCCCUUAAGUGGGGGAUAACAUUUGGAAACAGAUGCUAAUACCGCAUAGAUCCAAGAACCGCAUGGUUCUUGGCUGAAAGAUGGCGUAAGCUAUCGCUUUUGGAUGGACCCGCGGCGUAUUAGCUAGUUGGUGAGGUAAUGGCUCACCAAGGCGAUGAUACGUAGCCGAACUGAGAGGUUGAUCGGCCACAUUGGGACUGAGACACGGCCCAAACUCCUACGGGAGGCAGCAGUAGGGAAUCUUCCACAAUGGACGCAAGUCUGAUGGAGCAACGCCGCGUGAGUGAAGAAGGCUUUCGGGUCGUAAAACUCUGUUGUUGGAGAAGAAUGGUCGGCAGAGUAACUGUUGUCGGCGUGACGGUAUCCAACCAGAAAGCCACGGCUAACUACGUGCCAGCAGCCGCGGUAAUACGUAGGUGGCAAGCGUUAUCCGGAUUUAUUGGGCGUAAAGCGAGCGCAGGCGGUUUUUUAAGUCUGAUGUGAAAGCCCUCGGCUUAACCGAGGAAGCGCAUCGGAAACUGGGAAACUUGAGUGCAGAAGAGGACAGUGGAACUCCAUGUGUAGCGGUGAAAUGCGUAGAUAUAUGGAAGAACACCAGUGGCGAAGGCGGCUGUCUGGUCUGUAACUGACGCUGAGGCUCGAAAGCAUGGGUAGCGAACAGGAUUAGAUACCUGGUAGUCCAUGCCGUAAACGAUGAAUGCUAGGUGUUGGAGGGUUUCCGCCCUUCAGUGCCGCAGCUAACGCAUUAAGCAUUCCGCCUGGGGAGUACGACCGCAAGGUUGAAACUCAAAGGAAUUGACGGGGGCCCGCACAAGCGGUGGAGCAUGUGGUUUAAUUCGAAGCAACGCGAAGAACCUUACCAGGUCUUGACAUCUUUUGAUCACCUGAGAGAUCAGGUUUCCCCUUCGGGGGCAAAAUGACAGGUGGUGCAUGGUUGUCGUCAGCUCGUGUCGUGAGAUGUUGGGUUAAGUCCCGCAACGAGCGCAACCCUUAUGACUAGUUGCCAGCAUUUAGUUGGGCACUCUAGUAAGACUGCCGGUGACAAACCGGAGGAAGGUGGGGAUGACGUCAAAUCAUCAUGCCCCUUAUGACCUGGGCUACACACGUGCUACAAUGGAUGGUACAACGAGUUGCGAGACCGCGAGGUCAAGCUAAUCUCUUAAAGCCAUUCUCAGUUCGGACUGUAGGCUGCAACUCGCCUACACGAAGUCGGAAUCGCUAGUAAUCGCGGAUCAGCACGCCGCGGUGAAUACGUUCCCGGGCCUUGUACACACCGCCCGUCACACCAUGAGAGUUUGUAACACCCGAAGCCGGUGGCGUAACCCUUUAGGAGCGAGCCGUCUAA